rnacentral:rRNA from 1 species
GUAGGGAAUAUUGGACAAUGGGGGCAACCCUGAUCCAGCGACGCCGCGUGAGUGAUGAAGGCCUUCGGGUCGUAAAGCUCUGUUGCAGGGGAAGAACACAAUGACGGUACCCUGCUAGAAAGGAUCGGCUAACUUCGUGCCAGCAGCCGCGGUAAGACGAGGGAUCCUAGCGUUGUUCGGAAUUAUUGGGCGUAAAGCGGGUGCAGGUGGCUUGGUAAGUCAGAUGUGAAAGCCUGGGGCUUAACCCCAGAAGUGCAUUUGAUACUGCUGAGCUUGAGUGCUGGAGAGGCUAUUAGAAUUCCUGGUGUAGUGGUGAAAUACGUAGAUAUCAGGAGGAAUACCGGAGGCGAAGGCGGAUAGCUGGCCAGACACUGACACUCAGACCCGAAAGCGUGGGGAUCAAACAGGAUUAGAAACCCCUGUAGUC